CCUACGUGUGGCUGCAGUGAGGAAUAUUGGUCAAUGGGCGCGAGCCUGAACCAGCCAAGUCGCGUGAAGGAUGACUGCCCUAUGGAUUGUAAACUUCUUUUAUCAAGGAAUAAAGUGAGGCACGUGUGCCUGUUUGUGUGUACUUUAUGAAUAAGGAUCGGCUAACUCCGUGCCAGCAGCCGCGGUAAUACGGAGGGUCCGAGCGUUAUCCGGAUUUAUUGGGUUUAAAGGGUGCGUAGAUGGGUUGUUAAGUCAGUUGUGAAAGUUUGCGGCUCAACCGUAAAAUUGCAAUUGAUACUGGCAGCCUUGAGUACAGUUGAGGUAGGCGGAAUGCGUGGUGUAGCGGUGAAAUGCUUAGAUAUCACGAAGAACUCAGAUUGCGAAGGCAGCUUACUAAACUGCCACUGACAUUGAUGCUCGAAAGUGUGGGUAUCAAACAGGAUUAGAUACCCUUGUAGUC
rnacentral:rRNA from 1 species